rnacentral:rRNA from 1 species
CAGCACCUCAAGUGGUCAGGAUGAUUAUUGGGCCUAAAGCAUCCGUAGCCGGCGCUGUAAGUUUUCGGUUAAAUCUGUACGCUCAACGUACAGGCUGCCGGGAAUACUGCAGCGCUAGGGAGUGGGAGAGGUAGACGGUACUCGGUAGGAAGGGGUAAAAUCCUUUGAUCUAUUGAUGACCACCUGUGGCGAAGGCGGUCUAUCAGAACACGUCCGACGGUGAGGGAUGAAAGCUGGGGGAGCAAACCGGAUUAGAUACCCGCGUAGUCC